GGUGGGUUGGUUCAGUGUUUAAAGCGGAGGUCUCGUAACCGAAAGGUCGCGGGAUCGAAUCCCGCUAGAGGCUG
rnacentral:tRNA from 1 species